rnacentral:sRNA from 1 species
AUGCCUUGAGGAGACAGAUUUUUCACCGU